UCCCUGAUGGUCCAGUGGUUAGGACUUGACACUUCACUGUGGGAGGCCCAGGUUCAACCCCUGGUUGGGGAA
rnacentral:tRNA from 1 species